UUGAACCACUUCAUGUCCUUCUUGGAUUAAAAUUCAAGAACAAGAAGCAAGAAUUCAGAGAGAAAGAUAAUGGGAGAUUGCAGGCCAUUAGGGUUUUUGUUAGGACUUCCUUUUUCCUUGCUUGCAUUGAUCUUGGCCCUUGUUGGUGCAGUAAUAUGGCUCAUUGGGACUACAUUGAGCUGCUUGUGCCCAUGUUGUGUGUGUUGUGCUGCCCUAGCCAAUUUGGCCAUGGAUGUUGUGCAGCUUCCUGUUAGAAUACUUAGAUGGUUCAUUGAUGAGAUCCCUUGUUGAUACUGCCGAUGAUCUCUAUGAUCUCAGCUUGUUUGUUGAUUGCACGUUCCCUCAAUAAUCUUCUGCGAUUGGAUUUUUUUGGUAAUUUUUUUAUGGCCUUGAAAACAAUGAUACUUGUAACAAGAGAUGCCCAAACUUUGUAAUCCUCUAGUGUUGUGAGAAAUUUUUUGAAAAAUAACAUCUCAAUGUCUUCUUGGCA